rnacentral:rRNA from 1 species
GACGAACGCUGGCGGCGUGCUUAACACAUGCAAGUCGAACGGGCACCUUCGGGUGUCCGUGGCUCACGGGUGAGUAACACGUAAGUAAUCUACCCUCAAGACGGGCAUAACUAGCCGAAAGGUUAGCUAAUUCCCGAUAAUGAUCUUCGGUGGCAUCACCGAUCUUUUAAAGCAGCAAUGCACUUGAGGAUGAACUUGCGGCCUAUCAGCUAGUUGGCGGGGUAACGGCCCACCAAGGCGAAGACGGGUAGCUGGUCUGAGAGGACGAACAGCCACACUGGAACUGAGACACGGUCCAGACUCCUACGGGAGGCAGCAGUGAGGAAUAUUCCGCAAUGGGCGAAAGCCUGACGGAGCGACGCCGCGUGGAUGAUGAAGUCUUUCGGGAUGUAAAAUCCUUUCAGCAGGGACGAUAAUGACGGUACCUGCAGAAGAAGCCCCGGCUAACUACGUGCCAGCAGCCGCGGUAAUACGUAGGGGGCAAGCGUUGUCCGGAAUCACUGGGCGUAAAGGGCACGUAGGCGGCCAUGUAAGUCAGAUGUUAAAGGUAUAAGCUCAACUUAUAUUUCGCAUCUGAUACUGCUUGGCUAGAGAAUGGGAGAGGGAAACGGAAUUUCCGGUGUAGCGGUGAAAUGCGUAGAUAUCGGAAAGAACACCAGUGGCGAAGGCGGUUUCCUGGACCAUUUCUGACGCUGAGGUGCGAAAGCUAGGGGAGCAAACAGGAUUAGAUACCCUGGUAGUCCUAGCCGUAAACGAUGAUCACUUGGUGUGGGAGGUAUCGACCCCCCCUGUGCCGAAGCUAACGUGAUUAGUGAUCCGCCUGGGAAGUACGGUCGCAAGACUA